ensembl:snRNA U6 U6 spliceosomal RNA
GCUUGCUUCAGCAGUGUAUACACUAAAAUAGUAAUGAUACAGAGAAGAGUAGCAUGGCCCCUGCAUGAGGAUGAUACACAAAUUCAUAAAGCAGUCCAUAUUUUU